CCCUAAGUCCUAACAUCUAAAAUUCUUAGCAACAACAAUUCACAACACAACAACCAACCUCUCGCCUCUUCCUCUCGACUCUCGAGUCUCGCCGACUGCCUGACUCGCCGUCUCGGCUCUUCCUCUCGUCGUCUCGCCUCUCCCUCUCGCCAUAGCCAGAGCCUAGAGCAGCAGAUGGUAAGUUUCUUUUCUUGUUGAUGUCUUCAGAAUAUUCGGUCCUCACUGUUGUUUACACCUUUAAAUUCAGAGAGCAUCUCAAAGUAUUCAGCCAUUUCACGGAUCUCCAAUCACUGAGAUUUAUUCUGAAAUUGACAUUCCAAUUGUUGCCUUCUCUACCUUGUGUUGUUUUGAGAUCGAUGUUUGACAGUUUCUCUACCUUGUGUUGUGGAUUUUGGCAAAAAAGUUCCACUCUAGGUACUUAUUUCCAAUUUCUUUGAAGUGUUGAAAUAUCUUAGUAACGACGAAAUUCCAGCUUUACUCAUGGACUUAAAUCUUCUGUAGAUAUCAUCAAAGGCAUUUGGAGUACAUCGGUCUUUAUAUUAAAUAUCCAUUAGUAUAGUUUAUAGAUGCUGGAAAUUCAAUUUGGCUUGUAGCUUUUAGCCUAUGUUUCGAGUCAUUCUAAUGAUAGAUCUUAGGAGCUAGAAAUUAGAAAUACAAUUUGUCGAACAUGAUAAUAUUAUGGAUAUGGUUAAGAAGGCGGCCAAAAAUCUGAUUUAGAAAUACUACUAGUAUUUAGGGAGAAUAGUAUCUGAUUCCUUUUAUUUUUACUUUGUUUGACAGGAUAUUUGAAGGCUAUUACUUGUAAGUAUCUUCAUAUCCGCUAAUGGAGUAUCUAGCUGCUGCUUUAUCUAUUCUUGGAUGUUGUUUCUUCUAAGUUUACCCCCUCUGUUUUUGUUUUUAUUUGGUUAUUGUUUUUGUUUUUAUUUGGUUAUUAUUCUCUUUUGUAUUUCAAUAGAGAAAUUUGGAUAGAUUAUUGAUGAGAAGUAUUGAGCCUGUUUCAAUGGUAUCAAGCUUGUUCACUGGAACGAGUUUUAUAUUGAAGAAAGGUCUCAAAGAUGCUGCUGCUGGAACUCGUGCAGAUUUGAAAUGCUAUCUCUCUGUGUUUCUUAGAUAUUUACUUCGAUUUAUUACACGAUUUACUAAUUAAAAAGGCACAAUCUAAACCGAUAACUGCCCGAUAAUAGCUAAACGGAUACCAAUCCGCCCGAUAUCUUAUCGGGUGGCUAGCAGAUUAAUACAUUUAAAAGCCGAUAACCGAUAAGCCGAACCGAUAAGAGUAAAUAACCGUCCGAUCCGCCCGAUAAGCAGCCCUAAUUACAGACUCGGAUAGAAAUUUAACUUCUUCAGGUAAGUUCCCAAAUUUGACUUCAUUCUACCUCUACAGUGUACUUCUUGUACAAUUGUUCUUGCUAUUUCUUAUGGUGUCCUCUUCUUCUGUUGGAAUAUUCUAUAAUUCCUCUCUUACCAUAAGUGAUAAGUUCUACAAGCCAAGCUCAUUCUGUAGAUUUCUGCUAGCGAGUUCUUUCCAUUAGCUUGCACUCUAAUCCAUAGGAUUUCUAUUGAUGCCGAGCCACUUCAGGAUAUACAGCCACACCUUUGCAGAUGAUCUGCAUAAAUGUUGGUGGCUCUCUUGUUCAUCUUCACACAGUGCACAAGCAGGGUCAGUCCACAUACCCCAUUUGAUGAGCCUAUCCUUGGUAUAUAGUCGCUCUUGAAUUGCCAGGAACAAUAUGAACACCCACUUAAGGCUUUCUUGGUUGUUACAUAUCAUCUUCUUCCACCUUAUUUUUGGGAGUUCUCCUCUUAGCAUAUUGUACAUUCUUCUUAUAGAGAAUUUCCAAUCCACCACAGCUUCUUCUAUCCUCACUGCUGCCCUUUCCAGAUAUCUCCUCGCAUUGAUGAUCUUUCGAAUAGUCCACGAGGCAUUUUUGGCAUCCACAUCAAUUAUAUCCCUGCCUUUUAUAUAAUAAGUAUGUACCCACUUAAUCCAUGACUUGUCAUUUUUUUAGACAAGUUCCAGUAAUGUUUCAGAAUUGCAGCUUUGUUCCAUAUUUGUAUAUCAGCGAUAUUCAUUCCCCCAGCUGUCUUAGGUAGACACAAUUGGCUCCAUGCCACCAAUGCCUUCUUUUUUACUUCUGUAUUUUCCGUCCAGAGAAAAGUCCUACAUACAGCUUCAAUCUUGUUUACGACCUUCUUAGGCAACUGGAAUAUCUGAUACCAAUAAGACUGUAUGGCUAUGAGCACACUUUUAAUUAGUUGAAACCUCCCUGCAUAUGGUAGAAAUUUAACAGUUCAAUUGGCAUUGUGCUACAACCAACCUUUUGAAACUUAGUGGCACUACAAGGUACUUAAAAGGUAAUGUACCGACAGAGAAUCCAAGUUGUUGCACUAUCUCAUGUUGUACAUGGUCAAACACUCCUCCAAAGUAUAUACUACUCUUAUUUAUGUUAGCAAUCAAUCCCGAGUCUUUGAAGAAAUGUUGAAAGUACUCGAAUAGUAGUUUAGUUGAUACCACAUCUCCUCUGCAAAACAUGAGGAGGUCAUUAGCAAAUCCAAGUUGUAUUAUGCCCAAACUCUCACAUCUAGGGUGAUAAUUGAAAUCUAGAUUCCCCUUUAGUGUUCUGAGUAGUCUAGUAAGAUACUCCAUGGCAAGUACAAACAAAUAAGGGGAUAACGGAUUACCCUGCAUGAGCCCUUUCUUGCCUCAAAUGGUGGUGUUGGAUUUCCAUUUAUAACAAUUGAGUAGGAAACAAUUCUGAAGCAGCUUCUAAUCAAUGUGAUGAACCUUUAUGGGAAGUUCAUAUUUGACAGUAUCUGCUCCAAACAAAAAACAGUUCUAGUGAAUCAUAGGCCUUUUGCAUGUCCAUUUUGAUCAUAAUCCUUGGUGACACUCAUUUUCUACCAUAUCCUUUGAUGAUUUCAUUGCUUAACACCACAUUAUCAUGAAUGACUCUUCCAGGAACAAAUGUAUUUUGACUGCAAUCUACUAAUGGAUCCAUGACCUGUUGCAAUCUGUUGGUGAUCAUUUUGGAAAUGAUUUUGUACAAUGUUGUGUUGCAAGAUAUAGGUCUAUACUCCUUGAUGGUGGCAGGGUGUUUUACUUUUGGUAUCAAAGUAACUGAAGUGCAAUUUAUAGGUCUAUACAUAUCAGUUGUCUCGAAGAAUCUAAGCACUUCAUUUGUUACCUCAUCUCCCAGUAUGUGCCAAGUUUUCAAGAAGAAUAGUUAGUUAAAUCCAUCACACCCUGGGGCUUUCAAUGUGUCUAUCCCUUCCAAUGCUUGAAACACUUCAUCCUUUGUGAAUGGCCUGAUUAAUUGAAGUUGCUGAGCUCAUUUCAAAUUUGGCCCUUCCUUCAUGAUGUUAGGAUUGAUGGCAGGUAAAUUGUUCUGGCUUGAGCCUAGUAGGCUUUUGUAAAAGCCAAUAAUCUUUUCUCGUAUAUCCUCUGGCCUUUGUAAUAACCUCCAUGUUGUGGAUGUAAGCUGCGUGAUAUAAUUUUGUGCUCUUCUCCCUUUCAUGUUAGCAUAGAAGUAAGCUGAAUUAGAGUCACCUAACUUGAGCCAUUGAACCCUAGAUUUUUGCAUGUAGAUGCUCUCCUCCAUUAUGCUCCACUUUUCAAGUUGCUUCUUUAGCUCCUUCUCUUCUUCAAACUAUUCUGUGUUAUGGCUUAUGUCCCUCAUUUGUGCUUGUAAUUCCUUCAGCUUAUCCCUUAUGUUUUGAAUUUUAGUCUCCACUCUUAUAAACUCCUUGUUGUUUAAUCUCUUCAGGGCUCCUUUAACAUUAUUCAGUUUUAACCAUACAUUCAUCAUGCCUUGUGCCGGCCUAUGGAUUGACCAACUGCUCUUAACUAUCUCUGCAAACUCAUCAUGAUUUGCCAAGCAAUUUAGAAAUCUAAAAGGCUUCUUUCUAAUGAUGUUUUCCUCUCCGUCUCAAUGCAUAAAGGAGAGUGAUAUGAGAAGUAUGGGUCUUUGAUAUGAACUAGUAAAGGAGGCAUAGUAUUCAUCCACUGUGCAUUCAUUAGUGCUCUGUCUAUUCUGCUAUAUACAUGGUUGUUCGUCCAUGUAAAUGUUCUCCCAAUUGUUUGAAGUUCAGUAACCCCAACACUCCUCUAUGAAUCUUCUGAAGUCCCUAGUUUCAUAUUCAUGUACCUCAUUUCCAUGUGAUAUAUCCGCCACAUCUAGAACUGAUUUAAAGUCCCCCAUUAUCAACUAUGGAUGCUCCUUUAUUUCUCUCAGCUUCCUCCAUAACUCCUUCAUUGUUGGAACAGUAUGCAAGUCAUACACCGCUGAAAAGUGAAUAAUAGUGUUGUUGUGUCUUGACUGAAUAAUCCCAUGAAUGAGUCAAUAGGGUCCCAUACUAUUCAUAUACGAUCUCUAGUUGUAGUAGAUCCAUUAGUACACCAUUCCCAGCCAUAAGCUAUUUUAUUUACAAUCU
rnacentral:lncRNA from 1 species